CGUGAACGGGAGGGCAGGAGCGUCCGUGCCCCUUAUAAAACUUGACAAGACCCUUGCGGCUGCGCAUCGGAGGUCCGAAUUCGUUGACAGGACAGCACGGUGGCGGCCCCUAGCGGGCCGAGGUCGUACCAGGUCCUACUCUCACGACCGGAAAUGACGGCAGAUAUCGGAAAUCGAGCGGCAGAGCGGUACCGGAGGCGGGAACCAACGGUUCGGAGCUAACCCGACUCCCUUGGCGGGAACCAGCCGAGCGAACGCGUAGAAGUUUCGAGACGCCCAGAAGUCCUCGGAUGACGCGAGAUUCUUCGGAUCGUACCUCCGGCGUGAGUCGAAGCACGAAAGAUGAGAGAAUCGGGGAACGACUUCUCAGAAAUGCACAAAAAGAUAAGUUAUCCCGAGGAAGCAUCGGGACAACGUCGCUCUUGUGAUUUUAGAUGACGCGUGUGCGAGGAACGGAUCUCGUGCAUCCUCCUACGCCUCCACGUUUUUUCUAAUCUACAAAUACAGCAAGGCAGGACUGGACUCGGAGAUAAGGUUCGCCGCUCCAUUCCGAAGACGACGGUCCACGACAGUCCCACGAACCUCAACGUAUUUUCCGCACUAGAGAAAACUUUGCCCAACUGACCUGCAAGUUCAACAGCCGAAGAGAAAGAGCAACGGAGAGGCAUACCUACCUU
rnacentral:misc_RNA from 1 species